rnacentral:misc_RNA from 1 species
UUAAUGAUUGGAAUUUAUCAUUCAGACGACACAGUUAUAAAGAAUUUAAUAAGGCUACUGGCGAGCACUGGCCAGGGGCAUGAGCCCCCAGCGGCCCCGAAAGGCGGGCCCGCCAAAGCAACAUGGUAUAGUAAACAAAGGGUUGGAGAUCGGGCCUAUAAGACCCUAACUCGGUAAUGAUCCUUCCGCAGGUUCACCUACGGAAA